CUAACCUUACUAACACAGCCAAGAGGUCACUAUAUACCACAGUACAACUAACCUUACUAACACAGCCAAGAGGUCACUAUAUACCACCGUACAACUAAACUAACCUUACUAACACAGCCAAGAGGUCACUAUAUACCACCGUACAACUAACCUUACUAACACAGCCAAGAGGUCACUAUAUACCACCGUACAACUAACCUAACCUUACUAACACAGCCAAGAGGUCACUAUAUACCACAGUACAACUAACCUUACUAACACAGCCAAGAGGUCACUAUAUACCACCGUACAACUAAACUAACCUUACUAACACAGCCAAGAGGUCACUAUAUACCACAGUACAACUAAACUAACCUUACUAACACAGCCAAGAGGUCACUAUAUACCACAGUACAACUAAACUAACCUUACUAACACAGCCAAGAGGUCACUAUAUACCACCGUACAACUAACCUUACUAACACAGCCAAGAGGUCACUAUAUACCACCGUACAACUAACCUUACUAACACAGCCAAGAGGUCACUAUAUACCACCGUACAACUAACCUUACUAACACAGCCAAGAGGUCACUAUAUACCACAGUACAACUAACCUUACUAAC